rnacentral:rRNA from 1 species
GAUGAACGCUAGCGGGAGGCCUAACACAUGCAAGCCGAGCGGUAUUGUUUCUUCGGAAAUGAGAGAGCGGCGUACGGGUGCGUAACACGUGUGCAACCUGCCUUUAUCUGGGGGAUAGCCUUUCGAAAGGAAGAUUAAUACUCCAUAAUAUAUUGAACGGCAUCGUUUAAUAUUGAAAGCUCCGGCGGAUAGAGAUGGGCACGCGCAAGAUUAGCUAGUUGGUGAGGUAACGGCUCACCAAGGCGAUGAUCUUUAGGGGGCCUGAGAGGGUGAUCCCCCACACUGGUACUGAGACACGGACCAGACUACUACGGGAGGCAGCAGUGAGGAAUAGUGGUCAAUGGGUGCAAGCCUGAACCAGCCAUCCCGCGUGAAGGACGACUGCCCUAUGGGUUGUAAACUUCUUUUGUAUAGGGAUAAACCUACCCUCGGGAGGGUAGCUGAAGGUACUAUACGAAUAAGCACCGGCUAACUCCGUG